UAAGGAAUAUUGGUCAAUGGACAGAAGUCUGAACCAGCCAUGCCGCGUGCAGGAAGACGGCCCUACGGGUUGUAAACUGCUUUUGUGCCAGAAUAAACCUUAGUAUGUAUACUAAGCUGAAUGUAUGGUAAGAAUAAGGAUCGGCUAACUCCGUG
rnacentral:rRNA from 1 species